rnacentral:rRNA from 1 species
UCCAGACUCCUACGGGAGGCAGCAGUGGGGAAUAUUGCACAAUGGGCGAAAGCCUGAUGCAGCAACGCCGCGUGAAGGAAGAAGGCCUUCGGGUCGUAAACUUCUGUCCUUGGGGAAGAAGAACUGACGGUACCUCAUGAAUAAGCCACGGCUAACUACGUGCCAGCAGCCGCGGUAAUACGUAGGUGGCAAGCGUUAUCCGGAUUUACUGGGUGUAAAGGGCGUGUAGGCGGGACUGCAAGUCAGAUGUGAAAAUUAUGGGCUCAACCCAUAACCUGCAUUUGAAACUGUAGUUCUUGAGUGAUGGAGAGGCAGGCGGAAUUCCGUGUGUAGCGGUGAAAUGCGUAGAUAUACGGAGGAACACCAGUGGCGAAGGCGGCCUGCUGGACAUUAACUGACGCUGAGGCGCGAAAGCGUGGGGAGCGAACAGGAUUAGAUACCCUGGUAC